rnacentral:piRNA from 1 species
UGCCUGCUCUCACAGUAAUGUUUAAGAUUCC